rnacentral:rRNA from 1 species
UGGCUCAGAACGAACGCUGGCGGCAGGCUUAACACAUGCAAGUCGAGCGCCCCGCAAGGGGAGCGGCAGACGGGUGAGUAACGCGUGGGAACGUACCAUUUGCUACGGAAUAACUCAGGGAAACUUGUGCUAAUACCGUAUGUGCCCUUCGGGGGAAAGAUUUAUCGGCAAAUGAUCGGCCCGCGUUGGAUUAGCUAGUUGGUGGGGUAAAGGCCUACCAAGGCGACGAUCCAUAGCUGGUCUGAGAGGAUGAUCAGCCACACUGGGACUGAGACACGGCCCAGACUCCUACGGGAGGCAGCAGUGGGGAAUAUUGGACAAUGGGCGCAAGCCUGAUCCAGCCAUNCCGCGUGAGUGAUGAAGGCCCUAGGGUUGUAAAGCUCUUUCACC